rnacentral:rRNA from 1 species
AUUGAACGCUGGCGGCAGGCUUAACACAUGCAAGUCGAGCGGGGUGAUGGUGCUUGCACUAUCACUUAGCGGCGGACGGGUGAGUAAUGCUUAGGAAUCUGCCUAUUAGUGGGGGACAACAUCUCGAAAGGGAUGCUAAUACCGCAUACGUCCUACGGGAGAAAGCAGGGGAUCACUUGUGACCUUGCGCUAAUAGAUGAGCCUAAGUCGGAUUAGCUAGUUGGUGGGGUAAAGGCCUACCAAGGCGACGAUCUGUAGCGGGUCUGAGAGGAUGAUCCGCCACACUGGGAACGAGAAACGGCCCAGACUCCUACGGGAGGCAGCAGUGGGGAAUAGUGGACAAUGGGGGGAACCCUGAUCCAGCCAUGCCGCGUGUGUGAAGAAGGCCUUAUGGUUGUAAAGCACUUUAAGCGAGGAGGAGGCUCUUUUGGUUAAUACCCAAGAUGAGUGGACGUUACUCGCAGAAUAAGCACCGGCUAACUCUGUGCCAGCCGCCGCGGUAA